GAUGAACGCUAGCGGCAGGCCUAACACAUGCAAGUCGAGGGGCAUCAUGGCGUAGCAAUACGCUGAUGGCGACCGGCGCACGGGUGCGUAACGCGUAUGGAACCUACCCACCGCAGGGGGAUAACCCGCCGAAAGGCGGACUAAUACCCCAUGGUUCCCCGACCCUGCCUGGGGUUGGGGGUAAAGCCUACGGGCGGCGGUGGAUGGCCCUGCGUGCCAUUAGCUGGCUGGUGGGGUAACGGCCCACCAGGGCGACGAUGGCUAGGGGGUCUGAGAGGACGAUCCCCCACACUGGUACUGAGACACGGACCAGACUCCUACGGGAGGCAGCAGUGAGGAAUAUUGGUCAAUGGGCGGAAGCCUGAACCAGCCAUGCCGCGUGCAGGAUGACGGCCCUACGGGUUGUAAACUGCUUUUGUGCGGGAAGAAACCCCCGGACGUGUUCGGGGUUGACGGUACCGUAUGAAUAAGCAUCGGCUAACUCCGUG
rnacentral:rRNA from 1 species